CAGAGUAACUGGCAUUAAUAAUUCUUCAGCAGGCAAGAACAACUACCCAUAUCGCCAGUCUACCCCCUCCGUCGCCGACGAAGCAAACUGCAGCCAGCCCGCCGAUUAGCCGUCAUCCGCGCCUCCGCUUCUUGAUAAAUAGCAGUUCUAGUCACAGAUCCGGCUUACCAGGGCGCGGUGCUGGGGGUUGUGGUGCCAGAUUUAGUCGAUUGAGGGAGCAUAAACCAACUGCGGCGGCGUGUUGAGAAGGCACCGCAAGGGGGAUCCAUGGGGAAGCUGAGAAGGUCGAGGAGUUGCGAAGGAAUGUAUUUCAGGGAGUAUGCCGGCUUGCCGGAUAGAACCGAGUUUGUGAACAACGCAGAUAAGGAGGAAGCAAGUUAUGGAAGAAGCUUUUAUCUUAUUCAACCACGAAACAUCGGUCCUGACCUAUAGAAUGGCAACGUCGCCCGAGACGAAUCGUUCGAUGUUGAUGCAGAUACAGCAGGAACAAAAAACCACAGGGAGGAGAUAAACACAACAUGUGGCAGGAUUUUAGAUGGAAAGGAACCACAGACCACUGCCUUACGAACUGAUGGUGAGCAGCCAGAGGUAAACAGAAUGAACAAUGGCGUCUGUCAUGCGGAAACGAGCAUGAAAUUUCCCCCAAGAGAAGGUGUCAUGAAGAUAAAUUCUGAAGGCUGGACAUGCAGGGUUAGGAUUGGCGUGGCACCAGAUGAGCGAGAGAUCAAUCCAGAACGGAUUAGUGCUCUGGAAAAUUCAAUAAAGAACUACGCAGAGAGGAAGAGCAAUACAGUAGUUAAUCCUAUGGUGGGAACUUCGUUCGACAGCCUGGAAGACGCAUACGACUUUUAUAACCUGUAUUCAUGGGAAGUAGGUUUUGGCAUCAGAUAUGCGAAAUGCAGGUUGAACGUUCACCGGAAAAAGUGUAUGCAGGAGAUUGUUUGCGGCUGUGCGGUAAGUCGGUGCAAUGAUUAGGUGUCUUAUCAGGUUGUAAAUUUUUUUUGAGGGGAAACCAUUGCAUGAGAAUAGCAGGUCCGCUAGGUGUGGCUGCCCGGCAUUGAUCCGACUGCUAAGAUCGGAGGACAAGGGAUGGUACAUAUGUGAGCAUAGGGAUCAACACAACCAUGAACUGUCGAAGACAUGCGGUGAGAAGCUUCAUUGGCAAUCACAUAGGCACAUGGAUCGUUACACUAAACAACUUGUGAAGCAGCUAUGGGAGAACAACAUCAACCUUGGGAAGGUGUACAGUAUCAUUGGUAGUUUCUUUGGGAGCAUGGACCGUAUACCUUUUACCAAGAGAUCUCUGAAAACGCUAUGCGGGAAGAUCAGCCGCGAACAGUCGGACAAUGAUGCAGCAAAGACGUUGGACGUGUUCAGCAAGAUGCUGAAGGCAGACCCUGAUUUCAAAUACACGGUGCAGGUUGACGAUGAUAGCAGAAUAAAGAACCUGAUGUGGACAUCAGGGAAGAGCAUGGACCAAUACAUAUGUUUCGGAGAUGUGAUAACUUUUGAUACCACGUACCAGACAAACCUCUAUGACAUGCCUUUCGGACUUUUCGUUGCUGUCAACAACCAUUUCCAGAGCAUAAUAUUAGGUGGAGUACUAAUGAGGGAUGAGAAGGUGGAGAGUUUUAAAUGGGUGUUCGUGGAGUUCAUGUGGAUGAUUGGUGGGAAGGACCGUCACCCAAAGGCAAUACUAACAGAUCAGGCUAGGAUGGAGGUUGCCAUUGCUGAAGUUUUGCCGAAUACGAAAACCGUUGGUGCAAGUGGCAUGUGCUCAAAAAGGCUAUAGAGUGGUUGGGGCUUUGUACGGGAAGAAGAGUGAGUUCAGGACUGAGUUCCACAGGUUGGUUAACCUCAUGUGCACUGAGGAGGAGUUCGAGAAGUGCUGGGCAGAGAUGCUGGAGAAAUAUGGCCUCCAGAAGAAACCAUGUCUUACUCAGAUAUAUGAGGUACGGCGUAAAUGGGCUAAACCUUAUUUCAGGGACAUUUUCUGUGCAAAAAUGACGAGCACACAAAGGAGCGAGAGCGCAAACCAUGUCCUAAAGACUUAUGUCCCAACAAGAUGCCCAAUGCACCUAUUUGUGAAGCAGUACGAGAAGCUUCAGUUCGACCGUGAUUCAGAGGAGAGCUAUCAGGAAAAAAGGACUUCACUGAGUGGGGUCGUGUUGAGGGCAAAUUUACCAAUUGAGGUGCACGCUAGCAAGGUGUAUACUAGGACUAUGUUUGAGCAAUUUGGUCAGACUCUUUUCGAGUCAGGGCAAUACGUCCUGGAAGAGCUGGAGGCACGGAGCAAAUUCACUGUUCGUCGCACAAGUCAUGUCCUCAGAGAGAAAUAGAUCAAGAGUAUAUAUCGCAGAGUUACCAAAUCCACUCACCAAGAUGCCGCUAGGAAAGAGAGCCGAAGCAGCUCGCGAGGGCUCCGGCGGCAGGAGACACGAGAGAGAGCCAGCCAAAAUAUGAAGGCUAUUUCACGUGGAGGGCCGAGGACUGGGAGUCUAGGAGGCGAGAACUUUGCCCCGCCCCGCCCCACCUUGUACUGGAGAUAAUUUCUCCGGAUACGCAGGACACGAUAUCUUUGUAUGCACAGGACAUGUCCUGUGUACGCAGAGCAGCUUGGUGAUUUCUUAAGAUUGGGGGCAUGGACAUGGCUGAUGGCUGCUGGAACUUGGCGCGACGACACCGGCGUUUCAUGGAUGGUUAAUCUAAUUAAUAAGCUCCUGAUUGGCCCGACGACACCAGCGUUUUGUUGAUCGCCCGGCAGUUAAUCUAAUUAAUAAGCUGUUGAUUGAGUCCCAA